UAGCACUCUGGACUUUGAAUCCA
rnacentral:ncRNA from 2 species